rnacentral:rRNA from 1 species
AGUGAACGCUGGUGGUAGGCCUAACACAUGCAAGUCGAACGGCAGCACAGUAAGAGCUUGCUCUUACGGGUGGCGAGUGGCGGACGGGUGAGGAAUACAUCGGAAUCUACUUUUUCGUGGGGGAUAACGUAGGGAAACUUACGCUAAUACCGCAUACGACCUACGGGUGAAAGCAGGGGAUCUUCGGACCUUGCGCGAUUGAAUGAGCCGAUGUCGGAUUAGCUAGUUGGCGGGGUAAAGGCCCACCAAGGCGACGACCCGUAGCUGGUCUGAGAGGAUGAUCAGCCACACUGGAACUGAGACACGGUCCAGACUCCUACGGGAGGCAGCAGUGGGGAAUAUUGGACAAUGGGCGCAAGCCUGAUCCAGCCAUACCGCGUGGGUGAAGAAGGCCUUCGGGUUGUAAAGCCCUUUUGUUGGGAAAGAAAAGCAGCAGGUUAAUACCCCGCUGUUCUGACGGUACCCAAAGAAUAAGCACCGGCUAACUUCGUG